GUAACAAGGUUUCCGUAGGUGAACCUGCGGAAGGAUCAUUACCGAGUGAGGGCCCCUCGCGGCCCAACCUCCCACCCUUGUCUCCAACACCUGUUGCUUCGGCGGGCCCACCGGGGCCACCCGGUCGCCGGGGGACAUCCGUCCCCGGGCCCGCGCCCGCCGAGGCGCUCUGUGAACCCUGAUGAAGAUGGGCUGUCUGAGUGAUAUGAAAAUUGUCAAAACUUUCAACAAUGGAUCUCUUGGUUCCGGCAUCGAUGAAGAACGCAGCGAAAUGCGAUAAGUAAUGUGAAUUGCAGAAUUCCGUGAAUCAUCGAAUCUUUGAACGCACAUUGCGCCCCCUGGCAUUCCGGGGGGCAUGCCUGUCCGAGCGUCAUUUCUGCCCUCAAGCACGGCUUGUGUGUUGGGUGUGGUCCCCCUGGGGACCUGCCCGAAAGGCAGCGGCGACGUCCGUCUGGUCCUCGAGCGUAUGGGGCUCUGUCACUCGCUCGGGAAAGGACCUGCGGGGGUUGGUCACCACCACAUCUUUUUACAAGGUUGACCUCGGAUCAGGUAGGAGUUACCCGCUGAACUUAAGCAUAUCAAUAAGCGGAGGAAAAGAAACCAACCGGGAUUGCCUCAGUAACGGCGAGUGAAGCGGCAAGAGCUCAAAUUUGAAAUCUGGCCCCUUUGGGGUCCGAGUUGUAAUUUGCAGAGGAUGCUUCGGGUGCGGUCCCCGUCUAAGUGCCCUGGAACGGGCCGUCAUAGAGGGUGAGAAUCCCGUCUGGGAUGGGCGGCCGUGCCCGUGUGAAGCUCCUUCGACGAGUCGAGUUGUUUGGGAAUGCAGCUCUAAGUGGGUGGUAAAUUUCAUCUAAAGCUAAAUACUGGCCGGAGACCGAUAGCGCACAAGUAGAGUGAUCGAAAGAUGAAAAGCACUUUGAAAAGAGAGUUAAACAGCACGUGAAAUUGUUGAAAGGGAAGCGUUGUCCACCAGACUCGCCCGGGGGGGCUCAUCCCGCACGUGUGCCGGUGUACUCCUCUCCCGGCGGGCCAGCAUCAGUUUGGGCGGCUGGUGAAAGGCCCCGGGAAUGUAACACCCUCCCGGGGUGCCUUAUAGCCCGGGGGGGCAUGG
rnacentral:sRNA from 1 species